GCAGAACACAAUCGCACGUGUGCCAGACCCCGGAAUAUUGCCAGCGUCCCUGCUUGUAAGGGCUCUACAGUGGGAAGUAUCCACACGUCCACGGACAAGAAAACGGAUGAACGAGUUGAGGAGUGGUUCCACAGUGGUGUGCGCUCCAGCAGGGAAGACGAAAGCAGGACGGCUCUGCGGAAUAUAGUACAGGCACCGUCAGGGCGCAAUGUUGGGUGAAAAAGGAAGCGGCGGAACACCAGGCAGGAGGCGGUACAGUUUAUUGUACUCCCCAGGCAACACAGCAGGAGGCCAGGACAGCCAAGGAUACGCACACGGGUCUCUAAGACGAAGCAAACCCCGACCAGCCGACCACCCAGAAAACGAACCGUAGAAAACGGAGGGGGUUGGUUGACACAGGACACGCAGCAGGAUGGCUCUUCCUCUGCGAGCGGAGGCAGUGGGUGGGAAGGGCCCCGGGAGGAGACUGCGCAGGAACUGUGAAAAGUGUCCCACGUCGGGAAGGUGGAGGCUUGAGCACCUACGUGGUUCCACACUGCCCGUGCAGGAGAGCUCAGAAGGCACCUCCUCGGGAUGGCGCCGGCUGGCAGGAAGCGCCUGGGCAGAGCCGCGAAGGCCCCGGUGGUGGCUCAGGGUACGGCAGCCCGUGACUCUGGGGGACAAGAGAGAAGAGAGCUGAGGGGGCCGGAGGCUGAAGGUACUGCCUAUCCGACACCUUUUGCAGAUACAGCGCUUGCUGAUGACGCACGCGGGGCAGGCCACCGCUUCGGAGUCCUCGGCGUUGUAAACAGAAACAGUCCACUAACUGAAUACUACGGGGGAAGAAGGCCUUCUGCAGUAACGUUUGAGGAAGAUGUGGG